GGAAACAAUUUAGAAUUUUGACCCCUGAUGAGUAAAAAGUCAAGCGAUCAGAUGUCAUGACCUACAUUUAAUAAUGAUGUCAUAGGUCACGUGGAAGUUCCCCCUAUCUGUGUGAGUCAUGCUGGAAAA